rnacentral:rRNA from 1 species
CUCGGUGGCGAUGGCACAGAGGACACACCCGUACCCAUACCGAACACGGAAGUUAAGCUCUGUAACGCUGAUGAUACUUGGCUGGUGACGGCCCGGGAAAGUAGGAAGCUGCCGGGG